UACGUAGGGUGCGAGCGUUAAUCGGAAUUACUGGGCGUAAAGCGUGCGCAGGCGGUUUUGUAAGACAGAUGUGAAAUCCCCGGGCUUAACCUGGGAACUGCAUUUGUGACUGCAAGACUAGAGUGUGUCAGAGGGGGGUGGAAUUCCACGUGUAGCAGUGAAAUGCGUAGAGAUGUGGAGGAACACGAUGGCGAAGGCAGCCCCCCUGGGAUAACA
rnacentral:rRNA from 1 species